CCUGAUCCAGCAAUGCCGCGUGUGCGAAGAAGGCCUUCGGGUUGUAAAGCACUUUUGUCAGGGAAGAAAUCCUUUGGGCUAAUACCCUAGGGGGAUGACGGUACCUGAAGAAUAAGCACCGGCUAACUACGUGCCAGCAGCCGCGGUAAUACGUAGGGUGCAAGCGUUAAUCGGAAUUACUGGGCGUAAAGCGUGCGCAGGCGGUUGUGUAAGACAGGUGUGAAAUCCCCGGGCUUAACCUGGGAAUUGCAUUUGUGACUGCACGACUAGAGUGUGUCAGAGGGGGGUGGAAUUCCACGUGUAGCAGUGAAAUGCGUAGAUAUGUGGAGGAACACCAAUGGCGAAGGCAGCCCCCUGGGAUAACACUGACGCUCAUGCACGAAAGCGUGGGGAGCAAACAGGAUUAGAUACCCUGGUAGUCCACGCCCUAAACGAUGUCAACUAGUUGUUGGGGAUUUACUUCCUUGGUAACGUAGCUAACGCGUGAAGUUGACCGCCUGGGGAGUACGGCCGCAAGGUUAAAACUCAAAGAAUUUGACGG
rnacentral:rRNA from 1 species